CCCUUAGAUGUUCUGGGCUGCACGCGCGCUACACUGAUGCAUUCAACGAGUAUCGUGCCUUACUUGGAAAAGUUUGGUAAUCUGAGGAUAAUGUGCAUCGUGAUGGGAAUUAGAGUCUUGCAACUAUUAGUCUUGAACGAGGAAUUCCUCGUAAGCAUGAGUCAUCAGCUUGUGCUGAUUACGUCCCUGCCCUUUGUACACACCGCCCGUCGCUCCUACCGAUUGGGUGCUCCGGUGAAUUGUUUGGACUGCGUAUUACGUAUCAGUGGUGUGCGGGAAGCUCUGUGAACCUUAGCACCUAGAGGAAGGAGAAGUCGUAACA
rnacentral:rRNA from 1 species